UUAGGUGCUGUAAAGAAAUUCUCAUUAGCAGGAAUUGUGAAUAUAGAAUUGGUCAUCUAUUACCUAGAAAGGGAACAUUCAUAUCUGGUAUCUAAGAAUAUAAGUAUAUGUACAGAGAGUCAAUAUGCUUGUGAAAAGAACUAUGUGAUACUGGAGAAUAUGAUGCUACCAAUCUUACAGUGCAGUAAUAAUGGUGGAUUUAUAAAAGAAGAUUUUUCACUAUCAAAUUGGAAAAGUGAAAGAGGACUUGCUAAGAAUGAGAAUUUGACCAGUAUUGCUGCAUCAGAGUUGUUUGAACAUCUUGGGUUAUCUUACUAUCUUCUUUCUAUGAGAUGUAACCACUACAGUGAUUUAUACAGUCCAUCUUCCAAGGGAUGGA